rnacentral:rRNA from 1 species
AUGAGGAAUUAUAGAAGAGCUAUUAAAGGAUGGAUGGCCAACUAUGAAGCUGCUCAAAAUAGACAGAAGCAAACCCUUGUAGCUGAAUAUAAUUGUCUUGAUAUAUUAGUUGAAUCUCAACCUUUGUCUCCUAAUUCUAAAGCUAGAAUUAAAUCUAUUUCAGGUGAACUGAAUGAAAUUUGGAAGAAGGAAGAGAUCAAUGCCAGACAGAGAUCCAGAGAGAGGGACAUACAUGAAGGGGAACUUAAUAUUGAUGUCUUCAAGGAAAUUGCUAGCCAGAGGAGGAGGAAAAAACAAAUAAUUAUGCUGGAAGGUGCUAAUGUUCCUGUGUUUGACACCAAAGGUGAUCUGGAGGAAAGCUGCUGGGAUGAUGGCUACCUGUGA